rnacentral:rRNA from 1 species
GCCCUAGUUCUGACCGUAAACGAUGCCAACUAGCGAUCCGCUGAUGGAAAUUAUAUUGCCUUGGUGGGGAGCUUCCCGGAAACGAAAGUCUUCCGGUUCCGGGGGAAGUAUGGUUGCAAAGCUGAAACUUAAAGGAAUUGACGGAAGGGCACCACCAGGAGUGGAGCCUGCGGCUUAAUUUGACUCAACACGGGGAAACUCACCCGGCCCGGACACUGUGAGGAUUGACAGAUUGAUAGCUUUUUCAUGAUUCAGUGGAUGGUGGUGCAUGGCCGUUCUUAGUUCGUGGAGUGAUUUGUCUGGUUUAUUCCGAUAACGAGCGAGACUCUAACCUACUAAAUAGCUGGUACAUACUCUUUGUGUAUACAGCUUCUUAGAGGGAUUUGCGGCGUUCAGCCGAAAGAAAUUGAGCAAUAACAGGUCUGUGAUGCCCUUAGAUGUCCGGGGCUGCACGCGCGCUACACUGGCAAAAUCAACGUGCUUGUCCUACCCUGAAAGGGGCGGGUAAACCAUUGAAAAUUUGCCGUGAUUGGGAUCGGAAAUUGCAAUUAUUUUCCGUGAACGAGGAAUUCCAAGUAAGUGCGAGUCAUCAGCUCGCGUUGAUUACGUCCUG